rnacentral:rRNA from 1 species
AUUGAACGCUGGCGGCAGGCUUAACACAUGCAAGUCGAGUGGAGAGAAGUAGCUUGCUACUGAUCUUAGCGGCGGACGGGUGAGUAAUGCUUAGGAAUCUGCCUAUUAGUGGGGGACAACAUUUCGAAAGGAAUGCUAAUACCGCAUACGUCCUACGGGAGAAAGCAGGGGAUCUUCGGACCUUGCGCUACUAGAUGAGCCUAAGUCGGAUUAGCUAGUUGGUGGGGUAAAGGCCUACCAAGGCGACGAUCUGUAGCGGGUCUGAGAGGAUGAUCCGCCACACUGGGACUGAGACACGGCCCAGACUCCUACGGGAGGCAGCAGUGGGGAAUAUUGGACAAUGGGCGGAAGCCUGAUCCGGCCAUGCCGCGUGUGUGAAGAAGGCCUUAUGGUUGUAAAGCACUUUAAGCGAGGAGGAGGCUACUUUAGUUAAUACCUAGAGAUAGUGGACGUUACUCGCAGAAUAAGCACCGGCUAACUCUGUGCCAGCCGCCGCAGUAACAC